ACGCUGGCGGCGUGCCUAACACAUGCAAGUCGAACGGGACUUAGUGGAAAGCGGCUUCGGCCAAUGGAAGCUAAGUUUAGUGGCGAACGGGUGAGUAACGCGUGAGGAACCUGCCUUCCAGUGGGGGACAACAGUUGGAAACGACUGCUAAUACCGCAUAACAUAUCCGAGGGGCAUCCCUUGGAUAUCAAAGCUUUAUGUGCUGGAAGAUGGCCUCGCGUCUGAUUAGCUAGUUGGUGGGGUAACGGCCCACCAUGGCGACGAUCAGUAGCCGGUCUGAGAGGAUGAACGGCCACAUUGGGACUGAGAUACGGCCCAGACUCCUACGGGAGGCAGCAGUGGGGAAUAUUGGGCAAUGGGGGAAACCCUGACCCAGCAACGCCGCGUGAAGGAAGAAGGCCUUCGGGUUGUAAACUUCUUUUACCAGGGACGAAGAACGUGACGGUACCUGGAGAAAAGCAACGGCUAACUACGUG
rnacentral:rRNA from 1 species